CUGGGAGUGAGACAAGUGGCGCAGUCAUGGGAGAAAGGUCACCUAAAGAGAAAUUAACUGAACAGUCAGGGCAUAAAUCAAAGGGGAAAGAGUCACUUUUAUACAUCCGUCUCCAUGAUUUUCAUGUCCAAUUUAUCAACAAGUUCUCAAUUGUUCCACCAAGAGUACUUGAAUCCGUCACUCCUUUUUUUUUUUUUUUUUAAAGACAGCAUCUCACUCUGUGGCCCAGGCUGGAGUGUGGUGGCACUAUCACAGUUCAUUACAGCCUCAACGUCUCGGACUCAGAUGAUCCUGCCACCUCAAUCUCCCAAGUAGUUGGGACCACAGAAGUGAUUCAGCACUCAGGAUUAUUGCCCACACCCCUACGAUUGCACCCCCAAGCAAUCACCAGCAAGCACCCAAUGCCUAGCCAUCCCCACCCCUUCCCCCAAACUACCUUUGAAAAACCCCUAACCUACCAGCCUUCAAUGAGAUUGAUUUGAGUAAUAACUCCAUCUCCAGUGUGGAGUGGCCAGCCUCACAUCAAUUAAACUCUUUCUUUACUGCAA
rnacentral:lncRNA from 1 species